rnacentral:rRNA from 1 species
UACGAACCGAGCGAACGUUAUUCGAAAUCACUGGGCUUAAAGGGCGCGUAGGCGGGCCAUCAAGUCAGGGGUGAAAGCCCCCAGCUCAACUGGGGAAGUGCCUCUGAUACUGGUGGCCUCGAGGGAGGUAGGGGCGUGCGGAACUUCCGGUGGAGCGGUGAAAUGCGUAGAUAUCGGAAGGAACACCGGUGGCGAAAGCGGCGCGCUGGACCUCUUCUGACGCUGAGGCGCGAAAGCCAGGGGAGCGAACGGG